rnacentral:rRNA from 1 species
AACGAACGCUGGCGGCAGGCUUAACACAUGCAAGUCGAGCGCCCCGAAAGGGGAGCGGCAGACGGGUGAGUAACGCGUGGGAAUGUGCCCUUUGGUCUGGAAUAACUCAGGGAAACUUGAGCUAAUACCGGAUAAGCCCUUCGGGGAAAGAUUUAUUGCCAUUGGAGCAGCCCGCGUCAGAUUAGCUAGUUGGUGAGGUAAAAGCUCACCAAGGCGAUGAUCUGUAGCUGGUCUGAGAGGACGACCAGCCACACUGGGACUGAGACACGGCCCAGACUCCUACGGGAGGCAGCAGUGGGGAAUAUUGGACAAUGGGGGCAACCCUGAUCCAGCCAUGCCGCGUGAGUGAUGAAGGCCUUAGGGUUGUAAAGCUCUUUUACUCGGGAAGAUAAUGACUGUACCGAGAGAAUAAGCCCCGGCUAACUUCGUGCCAGCCGCCGCAGUAA